CCACUGGACAGUUUGAAUUGAGGACGCUGAGUGUAAGUUUUGGAACCAACCGUUGAAGGGACAUCUAACCAGACUGUAAGAAAUGAUGAAUGCUGGCUACUCAGUCUACAAUCUAUAUUUUUGAGGACACUUA